CCCAGAAUCUGAGCGAAUGGAGUGCCAUGCAGUCGCCCAGAGCUGUUACUCUAUUCUCGCCCAAACCUUCGAGUCGCCCAAGGUCUUAGCAAACAUAAAGUGUUGUGGUUAUCAAGAAGUGCAGUUAUCAAAGUAAUUAUUAAAACAGCCCUAUCACGUUCCAUGAUUCAAGGAACUUAAUUGAAGACGGUUGAACGACAAAGAGUAAUGACAGCAGUUAGAAAAGGUAGUUCCAUAACAAGUUGGCCAUUACGAGAAAAAUGGGCAGUUAUAGAACGAUCCAGCAGUUUUUAGGCGGUUGAUCACAAAGAGAUCAUCCAGGGAGUAUAAAAGGAAGGAAGGACAUAGAGCAAAGGACCGAAUCAAAAAAUCUCGAACAGAGAACAUG
rnacentral:lncRNA from 1 species